AUUACCCUGUAUUUCCUUAUCAGAAGGCCUAGGGGCUAACUGCCUCCUUCCAGUAUGUGCAGGAUUUACCUGUGAUCAAAUCCUGGCUCUGCCAUUUGCUAAGUGUAUGACUUGUGGGCAAGUGAUUUGACUUCUCUGGGCCUCAGUUGCCUCAUCUGUAAAAUGAAGAUAAUGGUAAUGAUGAUAGUAUAUAUGUCAAAGGGCUAUUGGGAGGAUGAAGUCAGUUCAUAUAUGUAAAGCCCUCAACACAACACCUGGCAUAGUGGAAAUAUUAUAGAAGUGUCUGUGAUUACUAGUAUCUGGACACCAAUACUCCAUGUAACUAUAAUGCUUUAUAAAUGUUCUGUAUGAAUCAUAAAGCUAUAAAGUUCCAUAAAUGCUCUUUCAUCUUGGCACAUGGAUAUCCCUCACCCAAUUAAGCUUCUUCACCACAGAUAACUGCUCCCUGCACCCGCCUUAUUACCAUUGGUAUUAAGGAACUCUGGAUAGCAUGAUUACGGCAUCAAAGAUAUGCAGAUGCUAUUUUGACUAAGCAGCACUUUCAUCGUAAGCCAAUUUUUAGAGAUUUGAUUAUUGCACUAGAAAAAUCCUGAAAAGUCUGUUUCCACUAAAUCAGACUUCUGUUGGGAAGAGAGACAUGGUUGCUCAAGAAAAACACCUAUACUCAUACCCAGAGUCCCUCUCAUCUGCUGACAGCUUCCCAGGAAGCGUACAAAUAGCUACCCUUCCUUGAGCCUUAUUGAAACUUGCUCUUCAGAUACCCACACCAUGACUGCACCCUGGAAUUUGUCAUGACCUGAAUUUGACACACUUAAGAAAUCACCCUGGAAUCUGUCACGACCUGAAUUUGACACACUUAAGAAAUCUGAAAUUCCAAUAUUCCACCUUCUGACCACAACCUUCCAGCUGCCCUUUUACUCUAGUCACUGCCAGCCUUGGACCUGACCUCCAGUCAGUCUCUUCAUCCCUCCACUUCCCACCAGCAUCCUCACUUACUAUCCUAGGAAGCUGGUCCCUAGUCGCUCACUGGACCACUCUUUCUUAAGCACUCUGAGAUUCCUUUGCAUCCCUAAACUUAUGUCUACACUUGGAAUAACACCCAUCCCCUUAGUCAUCACAAAAAACAGCCAUCUCUUGGAAGGAUUGCUUAAGCCUAGGCAGUCAAUGCUGCAAUGAGUUAUGAUUAUACCACUGUACUCCAGCCUGGGUGAGAGCAAGACCCUGUUUAAAAUUAAAAGAAACUGUCAUAUCUGUUCACCCAGGCAGAAGACACUGAUAGAGAAAGUCCUGUGAUCACAUAGUUUGAUGGUAUUGCCCUUUUAUUCCAUCCAGCCCACAGUGACUUUCCAAAACUUUGACCCCUCUGCCAGGACCUUCUCGACAUCCACCUCUAAUUCUCAGAAGGAGACCUUACUUCCUACAUCUGUGAGAAAACUGAGGACUGCACAUGUGAACCACCUUAACCUUCUGCCCCACCCCCCCCCAUUCAUUCCUUGACUCAUUUAACAAAUAUUUUUUCAACACCUGUUAUGUAACAAGCUCUAUGCGAGGUGCUGGGGAUGAAAUAAAUAACAAACACGCUCUACAUUCAUGAGGCUUACUGUCUGGUGAUGGAUAAAGCUGUAUAAAGAUGACUAAUAAGAGGUCUAACUAUCUUCAUGCUGCAAAACAACCCAAACUACUGCAUGCUCCAGUUGACUGUCACUGCCGAGACCAGCUUCUGAGUAAUUUCAGCCCAGGCAUCAGACUAGUGAGGGAAGGAGCUUCCAGGUGAUACCACCUCCCAGCCAUACUGUGAGAGGGAUGGGAAAGACUGGUGCUUGGGGUGGCCAUCUGACCCCUGAUGGACAGGAGACCAGGACAAGCCCACUGGAUGAGCCGGAGGGGUCCAGGAGGAGGGAGUUGAGAGCUCCUGCUAGGGUUGACACAUUCUGGUAAGGAGUUCAUCUGCUGUCCACCAGGGGAGACAAUAAAAAGGUCAACACAGCUCCCACCUCGAAGCAGCUGCCAGUUUAUUACAUGAAGUGUCAGGCUGUGGACUGCAGGCAUGCCAUUUUGUCUUCAAGAACAGGUGGGAUCAGAGGUCCUUGACUGAUCAGAAUACACUGCUUUCAACCAAAACAUUAUUAGCAUUGAUUUCUUAAAAAAUAAUAGCAAAGUAGAAAACCUUUAGCUGGUCUGUUUCUUCGUGUCCUGAAACUUCCUUAUUAGUGUAAUUAAAAGUACUAAGUUAAGAAUUAG
rnacentral:lncRNA from 1 species